rnacentral:rRNA from 1 species
AUGACUGGGGUGGCGCUGGCUGGCUUAAAGUUGGCAACAUCGCCGAUCCUGAAGAGGCUCCUCGCAGAUGCCUCAACAUUCCUUGGGGUGGACAUGGCAAGUGAGCUCCAUGAACUGGAGAGCACAAUUAUGCCGCAGUUCGAGCUGAUGGUUGAAGCAGCUAACAAAGGCAACCACAGGGUCAAGUUGGACAAAUGGAUCCAAGAGCUCAAAGAAGCCUUCUACAAGGCUGAGGAUCUGCUGGACAUGCAUGAGUAUGACCUCCUUGAGCGCAAAGCAAAGACUGGGAGAGAUUCCUCGCCACUGUGUGCCUCAUCCAUCAGCACUAUUUUGAAGCCUCUGCGUGCUGCAUCUAACAGGUUAUCCAAUGUUCGCCCAAGGAACAAGAAGCUACUUUGCCAGCUGAAUGAACUGAAGGCCAUUCUAGCGAAAGGGAAGGGGUUCUCUGAGCUUCUUUGUUUACCAGGUGGUAACACUGCAGAGAGGCCCAUUAUUCCUCAGGCCACAUCAUUACCACCUCUGAAAGUAAUAGGUCGUGACAAGGAUCGCGAUGAUAUAAUAAACCUUCUUACCGAGCCAGUUGCUGUUGAAGCUAAUUCAGCUGUAUAUGCGGGUUUGGCCAUUGUCGGAGCAGGAGGUAUGGGAAAAUCCACCUUGGCACAACAUGUUUACAAUGACAAGAGGGUACAAGAACAUUUUGAUGUCAGGAUGUGGGUGUGCAUCUCACGCAAACUUGAUGUCCAUCGUCAUACACGGGAGAUAAUCGAAUCCGCAGCUAAGAGGGAGUGCCCACGUCUUGAUAAUCUGGAUACUCUCCACUGCCAAUUAAGGGACAUACUGCAGAAGUCAGAGAAAUUCUUGCUUGUAUUGGAUGAUGUUUGGUUUGAUGAUUCGAGUAAUCAGAUGGAAUGGGACCAACUGUUAGCUCCCCUAGUUUCUCAGCACAAGGGAAGCAAAGUUUUGGUAACUUCUCGACGGGAUACAUUUCCUUCCGCUCUUUACUGUGAAAAGGUGCUCCGUUUGGAAAGCAUGGAAGAUACUCAGUUCUUGGCACUCUUCAAAUACUAUGCCUUCACUGGAGCACAAAUUAGAGACCCUCCGUUGCUUGAAGGGCUAGAGGUGAUUGCAGAGGAGAUAGCUAAAAGGCUUGGACAGUCUCCUUUGGCUGCAAAAGUUGUUGGUUCCCAGUUGAAAGGGAAAAUGAAUAUCUCUGCCUGGAAAGAUGCUCUGACUUUAAAGAUUGACAACUUAAGUGAGCCUAGAAUGGCUCUGUUGUGGAGUUAUCAGAAGUUAGAUCCACGUCUACAGAGGUGCUUUCUAUAUUGUAGUUUGUUUCCAAAAGGGCACAGGUAUAACACUUAUGAGUUGGUUCACCUGCUGAUAGCGGAGGGGCUUGUUGAUCCGUGCAACCAGAACAGGAAAAUGGUAGAUGUUGGAAAGGAUUACCUCAAUGAGAUGGUUUCUGGGUCUUUCUUGCAACCAUUUUCUGAAAGAUUUAUGGACACAUACUACAUUAUGCAUGAUCUUCUUCAUGAUUUGGCAGAGUCGCUCUCUAAAGAAGACUGUUUCAGAUUAGAAGAUGAUAAGGUGACAGAAAUACCAUGCACCGUCCGUCGUCUGUCUGUUCGUGUUGAGAGUAUGAAACAACAUCAGCGCAGUAUCUGCAAGCUACAUCAUUUGCGCACUGUUAUCUGCAUUGACCCACUUACAGAUGAUGUGAGCGAUGUUUUCAGUCAGUUAGUCUUGGAUGAAGGUAAUUGGAGACCUCUUUGUCAAGACUGA